rnacentral:rRNA from 1 species
GCAGCCGCGGUAAUACGGAGGGUGCGAGCGUUAAUCGGAAUUACUGGGCGUAAAGGGUGCGUAGGUGGUUUAAUAAGUUAUCUGUGAAAUCCCUGGGCUCAACCUGGGAAGGUCAGAUAAGACUGUUUGACUCGAGUAUGGGAGAGGGUAGUGGAAUUUCCGGUGUAGCGGUGAAAUGCGUAGAGAUCGGAAGGAACACCAGUGGCGAAGGCGGCUACCUGGCCUAAUACUGACACUGAAGCACGAAAGCGUGGGGAGCAAACAGGAUUAGAUACCCUGGUAGUCCACGCCGUAAACGAUGUCAACUAGCUGUUGGAA